rnacentral:rRNA from 1 species
GAUGAACGCUAGCUACAGGCUUAACACAUGCAAGUCGAGGGGUAACGAGAGGAAAGCUUGCUUUCCUUGUCGACGACCGGCGCACGGGUGAGUAACGCGUAUCCAACCUGCCCCCAACUAGGGAAUAACCUUGCGAAAGUAAGACUAAUACCCUAUAAUUUCCUCAGAUGUCAUCUGACGAGGAAUAAAGAUUUAUCGGUUGUGGAUGGGGAUGCGUCUGAUUAGCUUGUUGGGGGGUAACGGCCCACCAAGGCAACGAUCAGUAGGGGUUCUGAGAGGAAGGUCCCCCACAUUGGAACUGAGACACGGUACAAACUCCUACGGGAGGCAGCAGUGAGGAAUAUUGGUCAAUGGGCGGAAGCCUGAACCAGCCAAGUAGCGUGCAGGAUGACGGCCCUAUGGGUUGUAAACUGCUUUUAUACAGGAAUAAAGUUAGCCACGUGUGGUUAUUUGUAGGUACUGUAUGAAUAAGGACCGGCUAAUUCCGUGCCAGCCGCCGCGGUAA